AUUGAACGCUGGCGGCAGGCUUAACACAUGCAAGUCGAGCGGGGGAAGGUAGCUUGCUACCGGACCUAGCGGCGGACGGGUGAGCAAUGCUUAGGAAUCUGCCUAUUAGUGGGGGACAACAUCUCGAAAGGGAUGCUAAUACCGCAUACGUCCUACGGGAGAAAGCAGGGGAUCUUCGGACCUUGCGCUAAUAGAUGAGCCUAAGUCGGAUUAGCCAGUUGGUGGGGUAAAGGCCUACCAAGGCGACGAUCUGUAGCGGGUCUGAGAGGAUGAUCCCCCCCACUGGGACUGAGACACGGCCCAGACUCCUACGGGAGGCAGCAGUGGGGAAUAUUGGACAAUGGGGGGAACCCUGAUCCAGCCAUGCCGCGUGUGUGAAGAAGGCCUUAUGGUUGUAAAGCACUUUAAGCGAGGAGGAGGCUACUCUAGUUAAUACCUAGGGAUAGUGGACGUUACUCGCAGAAUAAGCACCGGCUAACUCUGUGCCAGCCGCCGCAGUAACAC
rnacentral:rRNA from 1 species